GAUGAACGCUAGCUACAGGCUUAACACAUGCAAGUCGAGGGGAAACGAUAGAGAAAGCUUGCUUUUUCUAGGCGUCGACCGGCGCACGGGUGAGUAACGCGUAUCCAACCUGCCCAUCACUUGGGGAUAACCUUGCGAAAGUAAGACUAAUACCCAAUGACGUCCAUAGAAGACAUCUGAAAGGGAUUAAAGAUUUAUCGGUGAUGGAUGGGGAUGCGUCUGAUUAGCUUGUUGGCGGGGUAACGGCCCACCAAGGCGACGAUCAGUAGGGGUUCUGAGAGGAAGGGCCCCCACAUUGGAACUGAGACACGGUCCAAACUCCUAAGGGAGGCAGCAGUGAGGAAUAUUGGUCAAUGGGCGAGAGCCUGAACCAGCCAAGUAGCGUGCAGGAUGACGGCCCUAUGGGUUGUAAACUGCUUUUAUAAGGGAAUAAAGUUAGCCUCGUGAGGCUUUUUGCAUGUACCUUAUGAAUAAGGACCGGCUAAUUCCGUGCCAGCCGCCGCCGUAA
rnacentral:rRNA from 1 species